rnacentral:rRNA from 1 species
ACUAAACAGGAUUCCCUUAGUAAUGGCGAAUGAACAGGGAUGAGCUCAGCAUGGAAAUCGGGGUCUCCCGACCUUGAAUUGUAGUCUGUAGAUGUACUGCCAACGGAGGCGCAGAUGUAAGCCUCUUGGAAAAGAGCAUCAACGAGGGUGAGAGUCCCGUUUGUCAUCUGCAGUCCCCCGUGCACGGUGUGCCUUCUAAGAGUCACGUUCCUCGGGAUUGGAGCGCAAAGUGGGUGGUAAAUUUCAUCUAAAGGCUAAAUAUUGGUUCGAGACCGAUAGCAAACAAGUACCAUGAGGGAAAGGUGAAAAGGACUUUGAAAAGAGAGUUAAAAGUGCCUGAAAUUGCUGAAAGGGAAGCGAAUGGAACCAGUGUUCUUGAUGAGAUUGUUGCGUACUCUGGUGAUUGCUGGGUGUUCCACCGCAAGGGGGGCAUCUAGUUUUGAGCUAGAUGUGCGUGGUGUUUCUUGUCUUGUGUGUCACCGUCGGUGCACGAGCGAGUAAACCUCCAGGGGGCUGGUAACUCGACCACGGUUGAGUGAAUACCUUUGGCAGUACUCAUUUGUGUAUCGAUCCCUGCGUGUCUGGUUGCAGUGUUUGGGUCGCCUGGAAACUCCUGAAGGGCUUGUCCUCGAAGGAGUCCUUUUGGGCGCCCUGAGCAUCUCCCUGACACAAAGACGA